rnacentral:rRNA from 1 species
GACGAACGCUGGCGGCGUGCUUAACACAUGCAAGUCGAGCGGUAAGGCCCUUUCGGGGGUACACGAGCGGCGAACGGGUGAGUAACACGUGGGUGACCUGCCCUCAGCUCUGGGAUAAGCCUGGGGAACCGGGUCUAAUACCGGAUAUGACUCCAUGACGCAUGUUGUGGGGUGGAAAGCCUUGUGCGGCUGAGGAUGGGCCCGCGGCCUAUCAGCUUGUUGGUGGGGUGAUGGCCUACCAAGGCGACGACGGGUAGCCGGCCUGAGAGGGCGACCGGCCACACUGGGACUGAGACACGGCCCAGACUCCUACGGGAGGCAGCAGUGGGGAAUCUUGCGCAAUGGGUGAAAGCCUGACGCAGCGACGCCGCGUGAGGGAUGACGGCCUCGG